AUUAGGCUUAAAUGGCGGCGACACAUUAAAGCUUCUUUAAUUGCGCCACUAAUAUGAUAUGCGCCACUAAUAUGAUAUCCCCUACCUCAUAUCAAUCAUUGAGUGAGGGAUGAACGCCUGUCUGUGUUGCUGCAUGCCUGCAUGUGCUAUUUGUUUGUUUCCAAGGUGGUGUGAUCUGCCCCCGAGGAAUGUCUAGG